rnacentral:lncRNA from 1 species
CACCAAUUGUAUUGAGCAUUCAUUCUCCUUUUGCAAUUCUCUCCUUUCUAAUUCCAUAGCAUUUUCAUGCAUUUUUUUGGUAGAGAGAGAAUUUCGUUCGAAUUCGCUGGUCGAAGUCAUUUGGAGUGCUCCUAUGGCUUGACGUGGUCAUUGUAUCUUGGGAGAUAAUUGUCGAAAAAUCGUUAGCACCGAUGCGGGGCAAAUUCAUCUUAAGGACCAAGUGUCAAACACUUGCCUCGACAAAAAAUUCAUCACUUGCAUCUUUCUUCCUACAGUUUUCUGAUUUCUUUUGAUUAUAUUUUGAUUUGGGGAAAUGAUUAACAUUGUUUACAUGUUUAUGUUGCAAGGUUCGAUCAAAAGAAUAAUUUACUUUCGUUCAAGAAUCGAAAGGGAUGAAUCCAUAUUCAUGCAUUCAGAUUUGGUAACUUUUAUGUUUUGCUUCUCAAAUUCUAUUUCGGUAAGUCGAAAUUACGUUUUGAUUUUACGCAAAUAACCGGUAUGCUUUUGUAAAUAUAAUAUGCACGUAAUCGGUGUAAAUUUUCCCAACAAUCUUAAGAUGAAUUUUGUUGAUUUUCUCGUGCAUUUUAUAUUUACGUUCUUGGAAAUUAUAUAGUGUGCAAUUCUGAAAAUUGUGUAUAAACACGUGAAUCUGUAAAUUGACAAUUGGUUAAGCACUUAAAUUAAUGGUAUAUAUGAUAUUCCAAAUAAUUGUACUUGCCGAAAUUGUGAUACCAAUUGGAAAGUUGGCAAUUUUUGAUUGGCAUCUUUUAAACAAGUAGUUUUGAGCAUGAGGAAUCUUGAUUGGGUGUUUGUGUACUCAUAUUGAUGGUUCUAUUCUCCAUGAAACAGAAUUCGUGCAAAAAUAAUUGGAGCAAGAAUGUCUUAAUAUAUUCUGAUGAAUUAAAUAAAAUAUGCAUGUUGUUGAAGGAUGUAUUUUACACAUUUCUGAAAUGGCAUGAAUUGGUCUUUUACCAUAAGUUGUGUUACCAAAUAAAAUUGCCUUGCAUGCGAGCGAGUGCUUACAUGAAAAGAUGCAUAUUUAAUGAAUAAGUUACUGGUUUGAUGAUAUUAAAUACAUUACAUGAAGGGUUGCUUCAAUUUAUCUAGUAAUUAAUUACUUGUGCAAUUGUGAAUUUAAUUAUGUUUUAACUGCCUACUAUGCCGUCCAUUCAAUUAUAAUAUGAUGAAAAUUUUAAUGUUGCAAUUGUUACACAUGGCUGUUGUAACGUAAGUGCAUGUGACUUCUCGAUUUAAAUGAAAUUGUGAUGGUACCUUUAAUGCUAGGAUUAUUGAGUCGGUUCAAAAUUAAAUGAUGAAAUGACCAUUAAAAAUAUGAUAAUAAAAAUGAAUGGUUGCAAGCCCAAUACGUGUUUUCAUGAGACCAGUUGGUUCAAUUUUGAAAUAACCUUUUAUGCAUACAUAUACUUCAAUUGCAUGAUCAUGGAUAUAAAUGAAUUUGGUGGCUGCCUUUAUUAUUUGAAUUAUGAAAUUGUGGCAUGGUGACCUUUCAAUUUUAAUUGCAAUUUAAACCCGGUGUCAAAAAGGGAUCUAUUUGACUUGUCUAAUUCAUUAUGUAAAGAAUCUUGAAUUGUUCUUUUUUUUUAGCCAUGAAAUUGUUAGAUUCUAUAAAUUGUUUAUUGGUGUGAAAAUUAAGAACUAAAUCAAUUUUGCCCUGGA